GACGAACGCUGGCGGCGUGCUUAACACAUGCCAGUCGAACGGAAAGGCCUCUUUCGGGGGGUACUCGAGUGGCGAACGGGUGAGUAACACGUGAGUAACCUGCCCUUGACUUUGGGAUAACUUCAGGAAACUGGGGCUAAUACCGGAUAGGAGCUCCUGCUGCAUGGUGGGGGUUGGAAAGUUUCGGCGGUUGGGGAUGGACUCGCGGCUUAUCAGCUUGUUGGUGGGGUAGUGGCUUACCAAGGCUUUGACGGGUAGCCGGCCUGAGAGGGUGACCGGCCACAUUGGGACUGAGAUACGGCCCAGACUCCUACGGGAGGCAGCAGUGGGGAAUAUUGCACAAUGGGUGGAAGCCUGAUGCAGCAACGCCGUGUGCGGGAUGACGGCCUUCGGGUUGGAAACCGCUUUCGCUCAUGACGAAGCUUUGUGUGACGGUAGUGGGUAAAGAAGCACCGGCUAACUACGUG
rnacentral:rRNA from 1 species